AGGAAUAAAGUGUUCAUAUUUUUGAACCAGUGAUUCUGCUUCUGGGAAUUUAACCUGAAGAAUAAUGUGAAACCCAGAAAACCAGCCGCCCGGAGACUCCGCUGGCUGUGUUAUUUAUAAGCGGGAGAACCCGGAAGCCACCCAGAUGUGCGUGGAGGUCGGCUGAGAAACCCUCCGCGUCUGUCUAAUUGAAUGAUGUGCAGUUGUUAGAAGUCAGGCCUGUGGAAAGUUCCAACAACGUGGGAACGUUCCUAUGCGAUGGGAGGAGGAGGCGGCGGCAGACGGCGUCUCCGGGCUGCGGGGACGAAGCCUUGAGCGCCUGGCGUUUCGGGUGCCCCGGCAUCCGCCCUGGUUCCAGGUGGUAGGAAACAGUGGUUUGGGCUCCUGCCAUGUUCUGCUCUGCUUUGUGGGUCGUGCAGGGGGCGGCGGGGACCUUCUCACAAAACCCCGGACUUGGAGACCCCCCCCCCCACCCCGGGGCCCCCAGGGGCUGGGACUCCAGGCUCUGUCUCCAGCUCAGCAGCUGCAGGGGUGGGAGGCUCUCUGGAGGGGAGUCCGGAGGAAGGGCGCCCAUGCUGUCGGCUGGGGUGAGGCCUGUUCUCACAGCUGGGACCUGGCCCUGAACACUGGAGGUGGGGGCGGUCUCUGACACCUAGGCCACAAGGAUGCGUGGAGUGAGGGGUCCUCUCCCAGGGAGACUGGCUGGGGGUCGACACCGUCGAACCCUCUACCAGCCGCCCCUACCCCCGCUCCUGGAGCCUGCUGGGGUCUUAAAGAGAACGUGGACUGCGGUCGGUGUCCCUGCCCCGCGAAGGGCCUGGGAUCGGGGUGUGGGGAAGGGCCUGGGCCCCUCAGAUGUCUGGGAGAGCGUGAGCUCCAGACCCGGGUGUUGGUCCAGACACUCUGACCCAGGGCACAGAGUGUGCAAACGAAUGGAGGAGGUGGGUGAGUGGUCAGGUGUCCGACCGGGGAAGGGUGCCAUCCCACCCAGGCCACACGCUGACCCUGGGGUGAGACGCAGGCCUCCUUAAAGGAGGGCGGGGAAAACAAGGACCUGACCCUUGAGGGCUAGUGGGCCCCAGGGAACAGAGGAACCUCUGGCCCACAUGCCAGGCAGCAGGCCCGAGAGAGCAGCCCCCUGCGCCCACCUGCGGCCGCUCUCCUCCUAACCUGCUGUCCAGGUUUCUGCGGCCGUAGUAGUCUCCGCGGCAGGGCCUGGGGCAACCAGGGUUAGGCCGGGACUCUGGCCAGGGAGCCCAUGGACGGCAGUAGCCCGCGUUCAUCCCAGUGGACACCACUGUUUCUUUCUCUAAUGGGUUAUCUGACCAUCCGGUGAGGAAGGCCGUGCAAAAGUGGGGAACCUGAGUCAUGUGGGGGGAGAGAGGCAAGGCAGGAUGGGAUCUGAUGACCCCGGCAGCGGUUCCCAGAACACCCUGGAGUCUGAUGCAGGAUUUUGAGCUUUCGGUUUUCCUGGGGAGAGGGCCUGAGCCUUCACCAGGCUCCCCAGGACCCCAGGGGCCACGCAGAGAGGUAGGGGGAAGCCUCCCACCAUCUGCUGCCAUCGGGCUGGCACUGGGCCACGCACAUUACCCCAGAGCACUCCCUACUCUUUCUGCUUAAGACCUAAUUUCAGAGGUGACCCAGGAGCCCAACAGGGAGGUGAGUGGGCUGGAAAAGGCCACGCGCGGACAGUGAGCGGCGCCCCACUGCCCCGCACGGCAGCCUUCUCACCGUCAAGCAUCUCAAGGCUCACACGAGAUGCCGAUCGCUUCCAGGCUGAGUGGGAGCGCUGCUCUUCUCUGCCAGGAGCCGGGGCCGGGCCGGGCCCAGGCUGGCUUCCCGUGGGUGCCUGCUGCUCCUUCCUCCCCUCCACGCCCCAGAUGGGGAGCCAGCCCAGGGCUGAGUGGGGAAGCCCCGGUCUGACUUCAGACCCUCCACCCAACCCCUCCUGGCCUUUGCCCUCAGCCCUCCUGCCGAGCCCCCCCACCCCGACUUCGUGCCCCUCCCUAAAAGCACAGCCCAGGGCCUGGUCUUUGGGAGGGAUGCCAGCCCGCCUAACCUCCCCCAGGCCUCAUCUUCUCACCGGGAAAUCGGGGCAGCGCUGUCUUCUUCACAGGCUUCAAGGUGACAGGGGUGGCUGCCACGUGGCCUCCUGGGGACCUCGCGGGGACAGGCUGAGUGCUGCCCUUGGCACGAAUGAACGAAGGAAAGAGGGAAGGAAGGGACUGGAGUCCUGACACGUGCUCAGGGCCCUGUGCUCAGUGAAGAAGGGGAGACAGGAAGGCAGGUGCCACAGGCUCCUGUUGAUACAAAGAGCCUGCAGGCAGUAAAUCCUGCAGGUAGGCCGACUCGGCCCGGACGGGGCGGGCGCAGGGUACGAGUGAUGCCCAUGGGGCGGGGUCUCCUCCAGGGGCGACAAGGAGGUUCUGGGACUAGAUCCUGGUGUCGCUUGCUCACCGCAGAGAAUGCGUGAAAUGCCACUGAAUGGUUCAGUUUAAAGUGGCUCCUUGUAUGUUGGGAACCUCCCUGUGGCUCAGACGGUAAAGAAUCUGCCUGCAAUGCGGAAGACCCAGGUUCUAUCCUUGGGUCAGGAAGAUGCCCUGGAGAAGCGAAUGGCUACCCACUCCGGUGGACAAGAUCCUUGUUUCCAGCCGUCAGCCCAGCCUUCCGGCCCCGACCCCCAGGUUUGACCCACACCACGAGAUGUCCUGAGAAUGCCCAGACCUGGCCUGGCGGUCGGGGCCCCCGUCUCCAUUCCUGGCUUCGUGGUGCCCCUCUUCUCUGUCUGCUGUCCUCCCCUAGAGGCUCCUGAGCCCACCCUGCCCAGCGCUCCCUCUCCACCCACCUCUGUGUCCCUGGCAAGCCCCUGCCACUCCCAGAGCCUGUUCUUCAUCUUCACAUUGGGAAUUUGGCCCUCCCAGCACUGGGGACCUCAGCCCACCUGCCUCUGGUCACGUUCCCACUCCCAGUGCUGCCUCCACCAGGGAGCUCUCCUGGCCUGUCCCAGUGCCGACAAGAAUCCCCUCGGCCAGCUCCGUGGAGCCAGUCGGAAUUCUCACUCAGCCCUGGCUGGUGACGUCAGUGGCCAUCCCCAUUUGACGGAUGGGCUGCUGAGGCUAGGAACAGGGAGCCACUGGCCAUAAACCACACAGCUGACAUGGAGCAGAGUAGGGUCGAGUCCCCUCGGAGCAGGUGAGAGUGUCUGACCCACGCUGUCUAGUUCCCAGGGGCUCCAGGGGGCAGCAGGGGACGGAGGGGGCCACCCACCUGCAAGCUCGGGCCUCCCAGGGAGCCUGGCCCCAACUGGCCUUCUGUCUGUCAGUGUCCCCUUGCCGGGCUGUGGAUGCCAACUCAGGGCUGGUCAGGGCCCUGCCACCCCUAGGCUGUCCAUGGCUUCCACUGACCACCUGCUCCCAGGAUGGCACGUCCCUGGGCCGGGGCAGACAGGGGACAGACCACCGCACCCUACACCUCCUGGCUGCCCCUUGGCCUCAUUUGCCCCCAUCCCCAGUGACCCACCUGCUCCGUGCCAACCUCCCCAAUCCCCAAUGUCACGGACAGCCCUCCCUGCGCCUGGCCACACCCCAGGCCUGUUCCCACCUCUUAACCUCUGCCCUCUGCUCUCUCCCCCAGGUACACCCCCCAGAAAGCACACCCCCGGACCUGUCUCUGGGAACAGUGCCAAUCAGACUGGCCACACGUUUUGGGGUGCUGACUCCGGUGUCCUCGCUGAUGUAGCAACCCACUCACCUCCCGCUCCCUGGGAGGCAGGCCCCAUCCCUAACCACCUCCCCUACUUCACAGACAGUGGGCAGGGGCCGCUUCCGAACUUCCGGCUGUCACUCCAGAUCUGCAGGGGGGACCCCACCAAGGCAUCCAUGACCCCACACGGCUCACAGCAGCCCCUCACGCUCCUGCGUGGCCCACAGCCUGUCGGACAGGGGCCUCGCCCGUCUCACAGACUUAGCAGAUUUCCUUUCUUCCGCCCGCCCCCGCUUCUGCCACAUCUCUCCUUCCCACCUUGGGCUGAGAGCAGAUGCCCUCUCAGGGCAGGGAUGUCCUGUCCCCUUUUACUGCUGAGAUCACUGAGGUUAACAGGGAGACUGCAGGGUUGCUGGCGGUUGUGGCCGCCCAGGUGAAUGGGGUUCCCUGGUGAUGUGCAGUGCACAACCUGAACCACUGUGCUUGGUAAGCCCGUGGUCACUCCCACCUGGUGCCCAUACCUGGCCAGUCUCAUCCUUGUCCACCCUGUGCCUGCCACGUGUGAGUGACAGAAGGACUCAGAAGCUGGGCGAGGAUGUGGCUGGCUGGCCAAGAGCUGGAGACUGUGGGCUCUCGGCGCUCAAGCAGCAUUCCUGGGAUGCCUGUGCCCCAUUCAGCAGCCAAGGCACUUGCUAUGCAAACACUCAGGGCCCCACACACAAUGGUUCCCGCCAGCCUGGCUGCCCAGCCAGACCCCGCCUCCACCUCCUCUCCACCCCAUUGUCCUGCCCUCUGGAGAGGGGCAGUGUGGGGGGCGCUGGGGGGGGACCCAGGCCUGGUCCCUUUCUCCAGGGCAGGAAGGGGCUUCUGGGGUGGCUGGAAAUGCCCCAGAGGAUGAAUGGCCAUGCAAAUGAGAUGCUGAUGAACCUGGACCGGGCCUCCCCAGAAAGCAGUCCUGGGAGCUGCCCCCUCAGCAGCCCGCAGGGAGGGGGUCCCCCACCCCGGCCCUCCCCCUUCUGUGGGCCGAGCCUCCAGCCCCUCCACAGAGACUUUCUUGGGUGGAGAGGGCAGCUCACUGGGCCUCCCGCCUGGGCCUUACGCAUUCUCUUUCCUCUGUUUGGAAUCCCAGCCUGGUAGGUGCCCCUCCUCAGGGCCUGACUGUCCACAGCGUGACUCUGGCCCCGAGGGAUUGUCGGUGCCCCCCCUCCCCGCUCCCCGCCGCAAUGGCGCUGCGUCACCGCUGUGGAGGUCUGAGUCCAGAGGGAAGAGCCUGCCUGGUCAGGACUGAGUUCUGCACACAGCAGCCUGUUUGAUGAAUGAAUAAGCGACCUCUCCAGCCUCCCACACCUCGCCCCACACCCGCAGAGUCCCGACCCAGAUCCUCUGGCAGCACCCCAGCCACUCCUUCACUCGCAUUCGCCCGGUCCUGAAACCAGCAAGGACCCGAAGAGUGUGCCAAGGAAGGCUUUCCGCACACGCCCCGGCUCUCACGCGGCCUGUCCUGAGAGCCGGUGGGUGCCGGGUCCUGUGGGUCCUUCCCAGACCAGCUCCGCAGGCACGCCUAGUGCACACGUCUCCGCCAGCCCCCCUGUUCCCCGACACAAUCAGAAACCCAUCCCACAGCCCGCUGGGCUCCUUUCUAUCUCAUGCGGCCUGCAGACACGGCCCUGUGUUAAAACUGGAAGGCCUUCUUGCCUACUCUUUGCCUUCCCAUGUGGCCUAUAUAAUACAUCCCACUAAUGGGCAUUGAUGGAGAAGAAAAUGGCAACCCACUCCAGUGUUCUUGCCUGGAGAAUCCCAGGGACGGGGGAGCCUGGUGGGCUGCCGUCUAUGGGGUCGCACAGAGUCGGACACGACUGACGUGACUUGGCAGCAGCAGCAGCAGCAGUGGGCAUUGAAGGUGUUUUCUGGCUGCCUCAGAGCCGUGCUGCCGUGACCUGGUACCCAGGCGACUAUGGGCAGGAUGCCUUCCUAGAGGUGGGACCACUGCGUCGCAGGAUGUGAGUUUGUAAUUCUGAGGCAUUUUGCCAAACACCUGCCAGGUGAGUCUGUAACCAUUUCUAAUAAUUUACAGUAAUAUGUGCGAGUCCCUGUAUUCUCUCAGCAAUGCCAACAGUGUGUAAUCGGAGUCUCUGCCAGUCCGAUAGGUGUAUAUACCAUCAGUGCAGCCGUCAUCUGCAUUUCUCUCACCAGGAGUGAGGUUGAGUGUCUUUCAUCUCUUCAGGAGCCAUUUGCUUUUUCCUUUCAUGAAAAAGGAAGGGUAUUGAGACUCCUGUUCAUACCCUUUGCUUUUUCAUUUUUUUCCCCUACUGUAUUGUGACCCUGUUAUUGAUUUGCUGGAGUUCUUUACAUAUGCUAGAAACGAGCUCUUUGUUUGAUACAAUUUGCAAAUAUUUUCCCCAAGUUGCUUUGUGUGGCUUUUGCUACGCAGAAAUUUUAUUUCAUGUGUUUGAAAUGAUCAAAAUACUUCUUUGUGUGUAUUUGGGUGUUUUUGUAUUUUGUAUCCUGCUUAGAAAGUUCUCAUCUCAAGUUUAUAAAGAAAUUUCUACUAUUUCUCUUUAAGACUUUGUGAUUUCAGUUUUCACCUUUGAAAUCUCUGACCCAUUUGGAAUUUAUUUUAGUAUGAGGUGUGAGAUAUACCUCCAACCUUACUCUCUUUAUUCUUUCCAGAUGGCUUCCCAGGUAUGGGUUGGUCUUGAAUGAGCUAUCUUUUCUCACUGAUUUGAAAUUCUGUGUUUGUCACAUGCUGGAUUCUCUUACAUGUUUGGAACCGUUUGAGGUUCUAUUGUGUCCUUUUAAUCUACCUGUUUAUUCUUGCACUAGCAUCCCACUGUUUUAACUCUUCUCGCUUUUAGCGGUUUUGAUGCUUAUGGGGGCUAGUUUCCUCGUCUUACACCGGCAGAGAAUGCAGGAGCCGUAACCUUCACCUUUCCUGCUUUGUGACCUGGUUUUAUUUGAGGCAGCAAAGCGCUGAGAACCUGCAUCUCCCAGCUGCAAAGCAGAGAACUGUGGCUACAGGACUCGGUUCUAGACACGGGGCCGACGGGGGUUCUAGAGGGGGAAGUAGAAGUGAGGUUUGGUGCUUCCAAGGAAUUUCUCUGGAAAGGAAAUCUUCUCCUUCCUUCCUCUUCCCAGAUGCCUGGAAUAUGACGUGAUGACCGGAAUCCAGCAGCCAUCUCGCACCACUAGACACACUUGGAAAGGAAAUCACACAACAGAAGAGUGAGCAAUCCUAUACAUGCAGAGUACAUCAUGAGAAACGCUGGGCUGGAUAAAGCGCAA